rnacentral:lncRNA from 1 species
CCAGGCGAGCACUUUGCUGAGAGGUAUUCGGAUAGGACCAAGGUCAGUUGGAAAAGAAGGAAGCCUAGAAUUUCCACAUGUAGGCCGAAAUUCUGGCACUGAAACUGCAGCAAUCUGUUAGGAAACGCUUUUGCUAAUAAAAAAGAAAUAGCAUUCCAGCUGUCUGCAGUCUGAUUGCGUUAUUCCGUCCCAAACAAAGCAAGACAACUGGGCAGUGCCUCUUAACUACCGUUUAUGAGGAGAUUGGACGCACUCCCAGCAAAGACAUCAGAUUCGUGUUCGCCAGCGCCCGCACCCAUGUCAACGUUGUCAUGCGUGCCGAAGUUUGUCGUAUAGUCAACUUGCAGGGUUGACAUUUGAUUAGGCUUAAAUGUAUAGUUUGCUUUGGGUUGUUAUAUUCUGUAUCAAAACGUGUAUCGAAUAAAGUACAGCGUGUAACGAGCGUUUUAUCCAUGAAACUUCUGAUAAAAAUGGACUAAAUCCAAGCGUCAACCCUGCACGUCACUGGUUUAACACUUAAGAUAUGUUACUAGGUAGUAGUACAACGAUAUUUUUGUUACUUGUCCAUGUUUCAUUGUUUAUACCCGCCAGUUGUCGAACAUAAAUAGCCAAUUCUAUUUAAAAGGAAAUAAUGUUGUUAAAAAGUGCCUUAAGUGAUGUAUGAAAACAAAAAUGAUAAAGUUGUAAAAUUAUUACCAAGCGGUGUCUAGGUAGAGCACUGUGCAAUGCAAGCAGAACCGGUGCCUGCUUGGUUGUCAAAUGAUGCGUGUGGGCAAAUUACACUUCGCUGUGCACUUGAACAAAUUUUUUAAAUUUAUUUUAGAUUAAAUUCAAAUUAUUAUUUUAAUGAAGUUAACUUUUGAAAAGAAAAACGUUUGUCGCAUCUCCAUUACUUAAAAUGAGAAUAGAAAAAAUUCGAGAUAUAGAAAUGGUGGUCAUUUGAAGAAAACGAGAUGUAAAUCUUAAUUAAAUUGUUAACGCUGCAAUCCAUUUAUUAUAAAUCUUCAGAAGUAAAAGCAUUGGUGACCUGCAAAUUUGCUCGUGUUAUUGCAGAAGUGCCCACACGUAUCACAUCAAUCUUUCUGAUUGUAACUGUGACGCAUUCUAAGAGUAAACUUUCUUUGGUUCCCGGUGUUUGGAUCUAUGUGUCUGACAGUGACAAAUAUAUUCAGUGCUGGGAGGGGAUCAAACCAUUUAUUUUACGAAAACCAAACCAGUGGGUAGGGGAAGAUUUUUUAAAAUAGAUAUUUGUUAUUACAGUAAGAAAAUACGCUGUGAACGCGAUAAGUAGCCUAAAGGUUUCUAUUUGGACUGCCAAAAUUUCCUAGCAUUGAGUCUAUUUGUGCCUUGCCCAUAUCACAGAGCAGGAAGAUUUCAUAUUCACUAAGGAAAAUCUGUGGGUCAUAGAAAGCGACAGUGUUUUAAUUCGAACUCUUUUGUCCAUUAAAAAGUAUACGUGGGACUGGCUUUUUAUCAUCCAUCACCUUUUACAUUCUAAAAUUUCGAAAAGUUGCCUAUGAAAUUCAUAUUGUCAAUAUUAUUGAUUACAUUAGCUACAGCAAUGCUCUUUUUUGGGGCGUAAUAGGUAUUUCAUAUUGACCAAAUGAGGUUUUGUAGACCAACUUUUGUCAAUGCUCUCCGCAUAAAAUAAGAAACAAUUCAACAGAAAUUUUAAUGUUUGUUACUUAAACAUAUCAGUGUUUUAGUUUGAUUGAGGUUGAACCUGGUGCUUUUUAAAAACUUUAUUAUGGUGGGCACCGAGUGGUGGUGGAGAUCACACGUUAUGAUCAGAUGUCAGUCCUGCAGCACGAGCUAGUGGGUUAUUUUUGCUAUGUUCUUCUUGAUCACUAAACACCGGAGACCAGAUUGGAGUUUAUAGGCAUUUGCUGAAUGUUCUAAAUUGUUAGAAGUAAAAUGAUUUUGGUGUUACCUUUUGAAAUUUGUUUGCAUAUUAUUCAUAGAAAUGACUGAGUUGGAUAAGGCUGUAAACUGACCAUGUCUUUAUGUUGCUCUUGAUUCGCACGACGCGCAAAACUAUUCACUCAAUAUUGUGUUAUCAAGUACCUGUUUAAGAUUUAAUGUGAAGAAAACAAAUUGACGCAAGACAUGAGCUACAUUUAUCCAUGAGUAACUUGGCCAGUCGCACAAAAUGAAUAAAUUUGGGAAACCUUUGUGUUUUUUUUGUGCGAUCAUCAGCAUUGAGACAUGUCACAAGGUAUCAAGUAAGCGCAUGCUUAUUAUAUCUGGGGUGGCAAUUACAUCAGAAAGGAUGCAUUUUGAUUUUUUAAUAUCGUUAAUACCACCGAAUUUAGAGAAUAUGUCCUUGGGUAAAAUUUACGAUAGUUUCUAAGACGUAAAACUUAGGUCAACUUAGAACAAAUAUGUAAAAUAGAAUGCUUUUAACAUUCCGAUUUGUAAAUUGGUUCUGUGCAAAAUCAUACAAACUUUAUGUAUAGUGUAGCAUUCCUAAGCCUCUUUUUUUCUAUUAAAACUGUUAAUUUUUUGAGCUGCUUUUUUCCAUCAAAACUGUUAUAUUUUUGAGCUGCUAUAUUCAUAAUGCUUAGACUUUUCGAAAUGUCUUACAUGGGUAUAGUGGAACUUUUUUGUGUUUCAGCUCGCUUU